rnacentral:rRNA from 1 species
CCUACGGGUGGCAGCAGUGAGGAAUAUUGGUCAAUGGGCGGAAGCCUGAACCAGCCAAGUAGCGUGCAGGAUUACGGCCCUACGGGUUGUAAACUGCUUUUAUACGGGAAUAACGCGCCUUACGUGUAGGGCUUUGCAUGUACCGUAUGAAUAAGGACCGGCUAAUUUCGGUCCAGCCGCCCCGGUAAUACGGAAGGUCCGGGCGUUUUCCGGAUUUAUUGGGUUUUAAGGGUGGGUAGGCCGCAUGUCAAGCGUGCUGUGAAAUUUCCGGGCUCAACCCGGGCCUUGCAGGGGGAACUGGCGGGCUUGAGUCCGCGGAAAGCAGGCGGAAUUCGUGGUGUAGCGGUGAAAUGCUUAGAUAUGACGAAGAACCCCGAUUGCGAAGGCAGCUUGCUGCAGCGGAACUGACGCUGAUGCUCGAAAGCGCGGGUAUCGAACAGGAUUAGAUACCCGAGUAGUC